rnacentral:rRNA from 1 species
GUGGAUUAGAUACCCUGGUAGUCCACGCCGUAAACGUUGGGCACUAGGUGUGGGGUCUAUUCAACGGACUCCGUGCCGUCGCUAACGCAUUAAGUGCCCCGCCUGGGGAGUACGGCCGCAAGGCUAAAACUCAAAGGAAUUGACGGGGGCCCGCACAAGCAGCGGAGCAUGUUGCUUAAUUCGAGGCAACGCGAAGAACCUUACCUGGGUUUGACAUGUAGAGAAAAGCCGUAGAGAUACGGUGUCCUUCGGGGUUCUACACAGGUGGUGCAUGGUUGUCGCCAGCU